rnacentral:rRNA from 1 species
AUUGAACGCUGGCGGCAUGCUUUACACAUGCAAGUCGAGCGGCAGCGCGGCCUUCGGGCUGGCGGCGAGCGGCGGACGGGUGGGUAAUGCAUCGGAACAUGCCCAGUCGUGGGGGAUAACACUUCGAAAGAAGUGCUAAUACCGCAUACGUCCUGAGGGGGAAAGCGGGGGAUCGCAAGACCUCGCCCGAUUGGAUUGGCCGAUGUCAGAUUAGCUAGUUGGUGGGGUAAAGGCCUACCAAGGCGACGAUCCGUAGCUGGUCUGAGAGGAUGAUCAGCCACACUGGGACUGAGACACGGCCCAGACUCCUACGGGAGGCAGCAGUGGGGAAUUUUGGACAAUGGGGGCAAGCCUGAUCCAGCAAUUCCGCGUGAGUGAAGAAGGCCUUCGGGUUGUAAAGCUCUUUCGGCAGGAACGAACCGGUGGGCUCUAACAUAGUCCGCUAAUGACGGUACCUGAAGAAGAAGCACCGGCUAACUACGUG